rnacentral:piRNA from 1 species
UGGAUGCCUUUAUUUGCUCCCAUAAAAUGA